rnacentral:tRNA from 1 species
GGUGGCAUGGCCAAGCGGUAAGGCAGGAGCCUGCAAAGCUCCGAUCCCCAGUUCGAAUCUGGGUGCCACCU